rnacentral:rRNA from 1 species
CCUAGUGUAGCGGUGAAAUGCGUAGAGAUUAGGAAGAACACCAGUGGCGAAGGCGGUUCUCUGGACUGUAACUGACGCUGAGGCACGAAAGCGUGGGUAGCAAACAGGAUUAGAUACCCUGGUAGUCCACGCCGUAAACGAUGAGUACUAGGUGUAGGGGGUAUCGACCCCCCCUGUGCCGCAGUAAACACAAUAAGUACUCCGCCUGGGAAGUACGAUCGCAAGAUUAAAACUCAAAGGAAUUGACGGGGACCCGCACAAGCAGCGGAGCAUGUGGUUUAAUUCGAAGCAACGCGAAGAACCUUACCUGGACUUGACAUCCCCUGAAUUACUCGUAAUGGAGGAAGCCCUUCGGGGCAGGGAGACAGGUGGUGCAUGGUUGUCGUCAGCUCGUGUCGUGAGAUGUUAGGUUAAGUCCUGCAACGAGCGCAACCCCUAUUGCUAGUUGCUAACAGUAAGAUGAGCACUCUAGCGAGACUGCCGCGGCUAACGCGGAGGAAGGUGGGGAUGACGUCAAAUCAUCAUGCCCCUUAUGUCCAGGGCAACACACGUGCUACAAUGGGCAGAACAGAGAGAAGCAAUACCGCGAGGAGGAGCAAAUCUCAAAAACUGCCCCCAGUUCGGAUUGCAGGCUGAAACCCGCCUGCAUGAAGUUGGAGUUGCUAGUAAUCGCGAAUCAGCAUGUCGCGGUGAAUACGUUCCCGGGUCUUGUACACACCGCCCGUCACACCAUGAGAGCUGGCAACACCCGAAGUCCGUAGUCUAACCAAGGAGGACGCGGCCGAAGGUGGGGUUAGUGAUUGGGGUGAAGUCGUAACAAGGUAGCCGUAGGAGAACCUGCGGCUG